rnacentral:rRNA from 1 species
CCUACGGGUGGCAGCAGUGAGGAAUAUUGGUCAAUGGACGCAAGCCUGAACCAGCCAAGUCGCGUGAAGGAUGACUGCCCUACGGGUUGUAAACUUCUUUUGUACGGGGAUAAAGUGAGGCACGUGUGCCUUUCUGUAUGUACUUUAUGAAUAAGGAUCGGCUAACUCCGUGCCAGCAGCCGCGGUAAUACGGAGGAUUCAAGCGUUAUCCGGAUUUAUUGGGUUUAAAGGGUGCGUAGGUGGUUGGUUAAGUUAGUUGUGAAAUCCUGAGGCUCAACCUCAGAAUUGCCAUUGAUACUGGCAGGCUAGAGUGUAGUUGAGGUAGGCGGAAUGUGUGGUGUAGCGGUGAAAUGCUUAGAGAUCACGCAGAACUCCGAUUGCGAAGGCAGCUUACCAAGCUGCUACUGACAUUGAUGCACGAAAGCGUGGGUAGCAAACAGGAUUAGAUACCCGGGUAGUC